GGUCUCGAAGCUCAGUCAGUAGAGCGUGCACUGUACGAAAACGUAGGUGCCGUCCACACGUGGGUUCGAAUCCCACCGAGGCUA
rnacentral:tRNA from 1 species